rnacentral:rRNA from 1 species
AUGGGGAAGCAUAAGCUCACUCUGAAGACCGAGGAGGACUCCAAUCCUCGUGAUAAGUACAUAACCUGGACUGACGAGGCGACAAGGUUUAUGCUUGAAUGGUAUAUCGACCUUCGUAAGGACAAACCUGCAACUUUCAAGUUCAAGAAACAACACCACUUGCAAUGUGCUGAUGCUCUAAAUGGCAAGUUUUCGCUUGGUGUCACUCAAACCCAAGUGGAUCGACACUAUCGUCAAUGCAAGGAGAAGUGGGGCUGGGUGCGUCGUGCCAUGGCCAAUAGUGGAAAUGGCCUUGACAGAACCACUUUCACAUUCACACUUUCUGAGUCAGAAAAGCAAAGACUCAAUAAAACUGCAGUCAAUUAUCUUACCAGACCCAUUAGGUUCUUUCAUCAAUUGGAAGAGUUAUUCUCGGAUCAAUCUCAUGCUGAUGGCUCACUCGCAGUUGACCAAACCACUGUCAAUGUGGAUGAUGGUAGUGAUGACAGCGAGGAUGUGAGGGAACUUGAGGGAAAUCUAAUUCCAGCAGACAGUGAUGAAGCUGACUCUGACACUAUUGAUCGUCGCAGUCCUAAAGUCGACUUGGAUGGCAAUCCAUUAAACAAGAAGCGCAAGUGUGCAUCAUCAUCACCUUCCAAGAAGCCAACCAAGGGCAAAGCAAACAAGAAGGGCAAGGUAUCUAAUGAUGAUAUGGUAACCAGUAUCAAGAAGCUAGCUGAAUCCCUUGCAUCCCCUAUUGUGUCUGUGCAACCAAUGCCACCUGCAGAUCCUUAUGCAAAUCUUUGGAAGCGGAUCAAUGCCCUUACCAUCCCAGCUAAGGAUAAACUUGAGAUUGUUGCCUAUCUAUCCAAGCCAGACCAAGAUAUCUUUCGUAGUUAUCUUAACUAUGCCGAUGAAACAAUUCUUCGAGAGUGGGUCAUUAGCUACUUUGAGCCUCAGUUUCAUGAAGGUGGCAAUGAUGGAUCUGCGGCUGCUCACUGA